GUGGUGGUGGUGGUGGUGCUCUAGAUGGUGCGACGGGUGGGACGACUGAGAGACCUGUUGCUGUUGCUGCUCCUCCUUUAUGUCGCCACCCUCGUAGCGGGGUGAGCCCUCUUCGAGGUAGCUACUGUUUUGGGAUAAACAGCAUGGUAGCCCAGCUGAUGAAGAGUGUAGGUGGCGCUGGGAUCCUCGACAUGGUCAGCGGCGACGGCGGCAACCGCAAUAGCAACUGCUCCAGCACCGGUCGACUCUACUAUGGCGCCAUUUUCCAUUUCCGGCUGUCCCGCCUUCAGCACGCCCACACUCUCCUUCCCGACCUCUUCACUCGCCACGUACGCCAGUUGCCGUUGUUGCUGCUGUUGCUGCUGCUGCUCCUGCCGCUGGUCGACUUCAUGCUCGAUGACGUCUUCGCUCUUUAUCGGCACUGCGGCCACCGUCAUUGCCGUCGUCGCCUCCCCCUCUUCUUGCUUGAUGACCGCCUCUCUGGCAGUCUGCGACGUCGGCUCUGCGGUCCCCUCGACAUAGUCGAGCAACGCUGCAAAAAGAUUGACGUGCUCAAUGACAGAAUGUCGACAGAAUAGUUGCGGAAUUUCAAAUCUAUUUUAGGAUCGGAGGACCCCCGCAUUGAGCAAAUAAGCAGCCACCAAAAGUUCGCAAACGACUACGGGGACAUCGUCACACAGCAUCACCGAUAUUAACGGCCUCUUUGUAAUUCGACUAACUGCCAAAAACGGAUCGACAUUUUGUGGCGGUAUCGCACCCGUUUUUCUACAGAAAAACGAAUUCACCCGUGCAACAAUGUCGAGAGGUGCCAAGAUCGAUCAAAAUUCG